rnacentral:rRNA from 1 species
UACGUAGGGUGCGAGCGUUGUCCGGAAUUACUGGGCGUAAAGAGCUCGUAGGCGGUUUGUCGCGUCGUCUGUGAAAUUCCGGGGCUUAACCUCGGGCGUGCAGGCGAUACGGGCAAUACUUGAGUGCUGUAGGGGAGACUGGAAUUCCUGGUGUAGCGGUGAAAUGCGCAGAUAUCAGGAGGAACACCGAUGGCGAAGGCAGGUCUCUGGGCAGUAACUGACGCUGAGGAGCGAAAGCAUGGGUAGCGAACAGGAUUAGA